UGAGGAAGUUGUUCCACAGAAGCUGAAAAAAUCAGUCAAACAAUCAGGAAAAAACAAGACAAGCACAGAUGUUGUUCUUGUCAAGGAGAGUCCUGAAAAACCCAAAGCCACUUCAGCACUGGAUUUCUUUGGGUCUUCGCCUGUUGAAAGAGCUUCAAGAAAAACCUAUGC